AGUGAAGAGGCUCAGGGUGGAGCACGUGCUUAGCAGGCACGAGGUCCUGGGUUCAAUCCCCAGUACCUCCA
rnacentral:tRNA from 1 species